rnacentral:rRNA from 1 species
UGGGGAAUUUUGGACAAUGGGCGCAAGCCUGAUCCAGCCAUGCCGCGUGCGGGAAGAAGGCCUUCGGGUUGUAAACCGCUUUUGUCAGGGAAGAAAUCUUCUGGGUUAAUACCUCGGGAGGAUGACGGUACCUGAAGAAUAAGCACCGGCUAACUACGUGCCAGCAGCCGCGGUAAUACGUAGGGUGCAAGCGUUAAUCGGAAUUACUGGGCGUAAAGCGUGCGCAGGCGGUUAUGCAAGACAGAUGUGAAAUCCCCGGGCUCAACCUGGGAAUUGCAUUUGUGACUGCAUGGCUAGAGUGCGGCAGAGGGGGAUGGAAUUCCGCGUGUAGCAGUGAAAUGCGUAGAUAUGCGGAGGAACACCGAUGGCGAAGGCAAUCCCCUGGGCCUGCACUGACGCUCAUGCACGAAAGCGUGGGGAGCAAACAGGAUUAGAUACCCUGGUAGUCCACGCCCUAAACGAUGUCAACUGGUUGUUGGGAAGGUUCCUUCUCAGUAACGUAGCUAACGCGUGAAGUUGACCGCCUGGGGAGUACGGCCGCAAGGUUG